GGGGGAACCCUGAUGCAGCCAUGCCGCGUGUGUGAAGAAGGYYUUCGGGUUGUAAAGCACUUUCRGCGAGGAGGAAAGGUCAGUAGCUAAUAYCUGCUGGCUGUGACGUUACUCGCARAARAAGCACCGGCUAACUCCGUGCCAGCAGCCGCGGUAAUACGGAGGGUGCAAGCGUUAAUCGGAAUUACUGGGCGUAAAGCGCACGCAGGCGGUUGGAUAAGUUAGAUGUGAAAGCC
rnacentral:rRNA from 1 species